rnacentral:rRNA from 1 species
UACGUAGGGCGCAAGCGUUGUCCGGAAUUAUUGGGCGUAAAGAGCUCGUAGGCGGCCUGUUGCGUCCGCUGUGAAAUCCCCGGGGCUCAACCCCGGGCGUGCAGUGGAUACGGGCUGGCUGGAGGCAGGCAGGGGAGAACGGAAUUCCUGGUGUAGCGGUGAAAUGCGCAGAUAUCAGGAGGAACACCGGUGGCGAAGGCGGUUCUCUGGGCCUGUACUGACGCUGAGGAGCGAAAAGCGUGGGGGAGCGAACAGG